rnacentral:rRNA from 1 species
AUUGAACGCUGGCGGCAUGCCUUACACAUGCAAGUCGAACGGUAACAGGUCUUCGGAUGCUGACGAGUGGCGAACGGGUGAGUAAUACAUCGGAACGUGCCUAGUAGUGGGGGAUAACUACUCGAAAGAGUGGCUAAUACCGCAUGAGAUCUACGGAUGAAAGCAGGGGAUCGCAAGACCUUGUGCUACUAGAGCGGCCGAUGGCAGAUUAGGUAGUUGGUGGGAUAAAAGCUUACCAAGCCGACGAUCUGUAGCUGGUCUGAGAGGACGAUCAGCCACACUGGGACUGAGAAACGGCCCAGACUCCUACGGGAGGCAGCAGUGGGGAAUUGUGGACAAUGGGCGCAAGCCUGAUCCAGCAAUGCCGCGUGCAGGAUGAAGGCCUUCGGGUUGUAAACUGCUUUUGUACGGAACGAAAAGCCCCGGGUUAAUACCCUGGGGUCAUGACGGUACCGUAAGAAUAAGCACCGGCUAACUACGCGCCAGCCGCCGCCGUAA